ACUCGAUAAUAAUUUAGCUUGACAGCAGCUAUAGCGUGUGUGUCAAACUGGGCUAGUGUUCGGCUGCCCAGACAAGGAUGUAUAACGAUGCAGCGAGGAAAGGUAGAACUUUAUAUCAUUAUUAUUAUAACGUGUCAAGUGUACGGCAUCGAGCUCGUGUGUUAAGCCAUCAAUAAUGCUGCAGGUUCGCGUCAACUCUAAUUAUAAGGCCACGAACACAGUAUAUUACUAUAUUAUAUUAUAUAUAGUUGCAUGAUGCGUGCUGUAUGGCUGGCUAUACAUUAUAGUAGAGUAUAUAAGUAUUUUAUGACGAGGUCGUGCUCUUGUCCUUAUUUUCGAUAUAACAUCAAGGUUGGUUUCUCGGCGUGCCUGAUUAAAAUUUUCGAAAAAUAUAAUCAAAUUCCCGGUUUUAUGACCGUUAAUGCGUCGUACAAGAAAUCGGGAUUAUCAUUACUUUUUACAACUCUCAUAAUAAUAAUAAAUUAUGAAGUGCCUAUACCAUAUAACUUAUAAUAUAUAGUAACUAUUAUAGUGCGUACUACGGACCUCGUGUAUAGAAAAUUAAUUUAGAUUAAACGAUAAAUUUAUCAAACUUAUACCUUAAUGUAAAAAUAUUUCAACAGCUAUGUAUACAUCAGUUUAAUGAUACAAAAAAAAAAUGUACACUCAGAAGGUAAUAAAAUACAAAUAUAAACUUUACAAACAUUAUACAAACAUAUACAUCCACACCAAUAAACAAAUUAAAAAUAUCUGUAUAGGUACAUAUACCUAUUAAAAUGGGAGAAAAUAUUAAAACAGUAUCAAUAACUUAUCAAAAUAAAAGUAAUAAUUUCAAAUAAAUAAUAUAAACAGAAAAGAUAUGUUCUUAUUAAAUAGAAUAAGAAUAUAAUAUGUCACACAAACAUCUUAAACAUUUCACGAUGACUGUCGCUGUUACAUCCUAUUCACAGCUGAGAAAUGCGUCGAACAGCAGGGACGCAUACAGGCAUAGAUGAAGAUGAUGACACAAAGUUUUAAUAGACAAAGAAGACACUUCAAUAUACACUUUAUGGCUCAUGUGGAACUCAGCUCAUCAUCAGACAUAUUUUAACAGAAUAUUUCAGCAGAUGUUAAAACGAAAAUAAUUUACCAGAUCACCUUCGUGAAGUCUUAGGACCUCAAACGGAAACAACAAAGUAUAACAGAUAUGAACAGGAGAUCCCCGUCGUUGGUUAAAAGAAACUAUAUAGGAUAGAUAACAGGAAAAGUGUCAUUUUUCCGAACACUUAUUUAUUUUAUAUAUGUAGGUAUGUAUCUACUUUUUACCUACAUAGUACACUUAAUUACAUAUGUUUAUUAACGAUUGAGAAAA